rnacentral:rRNA from 1 species
GACGAACGCUGGCGGCGUGCUUAACACAUGCAAGUCGAACGGAAAGGCCCUGCUUGCGGGGUACUCGAGUGGCGAACGGGUGAGUAACACGUGGGUGAUCUGCCCUGCACUUCGGGAUAAGCUUGGGAAACUGGGUCUAAUACCGGAUAGGAGCCAUCUUUAGUGUGGUGGUUGGAAAGUUUUUUCGGUGUAGGAUGAGCUCGCGGCCUAUCAGCUUGUUGGUGGGGUAAUGGCCUACCAAGGCGGCGACGGGUAGCCGGCCUGAGAGGGUGUACGGCCACAUUGGGACUGAGAUACGGCCCAGACUCCUACGGGAGGCAGCAGUGGGGAAUAUUGCACAAUGGGCGCAAGCCUGAUGCAGCGACGCCGCGUGGGGGAUGAAGGCCUUCGGGUUGUAAACUCCUUUCGCUAGGGACGAAGCUUUGUUGUGACGGUACCUAGAUAAGAAGCACCGGCUAACUACGUG